GUGCUCGCUUCAGCAGCACAUAUACGAAAAUUGGAACAAUACAGAGAAGGUUAGCAUGGCCCCUGUGCAAGGAUGACUCGCAAAUUCAUGAAGCAUGGUCAU